rnacentral:rRNA from 1 species
AACGAACGCUGGCGGCAUGCCUAACACAUGCAAGUCGAACGAAGGCUUCGGCCUUAGUGGCGCACGGGUGCGUAACGCGUGGGAAUCUGCCCUUGGGUUCGGAAUAACUCAGAGAAAUUUGAGCUAAUACCGAAUGAUGUCGAAAGACCAAAGAUUUAUCGCCCAAGGAUGAGCCCGCGUAGGAUUAGCUUGUUGGUGAGGUAAAGGCUCACCAAGGCGACGAUCCUUAGCUGGUCUGAGAGGAUGAUCAGCCACACUGGGACUGAGAUACGGCCCAGACUCCUACGGGAGGCAGCAGUGGGGAAUAUUGGACAAUGGGCGAAAGCCUGAUCCAGCAAUGCCGCGUGAGUGAUGAAGGCCUUAGGGUUGUAAAGCUCUUUUACCAGGGAUGAUAAUGACAGUACCUGGAGAAUAAGCUCCGGCUAACUCCGUGCCAGCAGCCGCGGUAAUGUCUGUACU